rnacentral:rRNA from 1 species
UACGAAGGGUGCAAGCGUUAAUCGGAAUUACUGGGCGUAAAGGGCGCGUAGGCGGCGGGGUAAGUCUGGUGUGAAAUCUCGGAGCUCAACUCCGAAAUUGCACUGGAUACUGCCUUGCUUGAGCACUGGAGAGGGAACUGGAAUUUACGGUGUAGCAGUGAAAUGCGUAGAGAUCGUAAGGAAGACCAGUGGCGAAGGCGGGUCUCUGGACAGUUCCUGACACUGAGGCACGAAGGCCAGGGGAGCAAACGGG